GGCCAUGGGGGCCGGGGCGGACGAGCCCGGGGCCUGCAUGCGCGCACCCAGGGCAGGGGCCACUUGCUGGGGUGGGGACUGGGGCGGCUCACUGCUCUGUCCCUUUCCAGCCCAAAGCCUUAUGGGGUGCCUGCUGUAUGUACGCCAGGCUCCUGUUAGCCGCUGCCCGGCUCGGGGAAGGAAGACUCCCAGCCUCCCGGUCACAGCUGCUGCCGCUGGGACAUGGUCAGCAUGUCGGUUCGGCGCCACGUGCCAAGGCGCACUGCCUCCUUACAGAAGCCCAGAGGAGAGGCUGCUGUCAUCACUCCCAUUUUACAGGUGAGAAAACUGAGGCCCAGAGCGGUCGAGUCACUCAGCCCAGGGUCACCCAGGUCGGGAGCAGGUGGGCGUGCUGCUCCAGGGUGCUUUUCUCUCCUUUCUCCCCCCGCCCUCCGCCAGCCUCAUCCGGCCCUUCCCAGCUUGGGGGUGGGGCUGGGUGCUGGGGAGGACUCUCUCUCCCCAGGAGGCAGCCCUGGCUUGUGGUGGCCGUACGAGGAGGUGGCGCGGCAAGAUUCUGGCCUCUGCUGGCGCUGUGGGCGGCACCGCUGCUUGUGACUCCAGCAUAUGGACACAGGCCAGGAACGUAAAUGUUUACAGGGCGUGCGCAGCUGGCCGGCGCCUUGGCCACAGGAAGCCCAGGACCCGGGCCGCAUCGAGAGAGAGAGAGAGAGAGAGAGAGAGAGAGAGAGAGAGAGAGAGAGAGACUACGUGCCUUACUUUUUAAAGAGAGCUUUUAUUUAUCAAGUGCACGCAUCUGAAAUGCGAAAUGAGAGUUUCCUGUCUGCGAACCCUGCAGCCGCCCCAGGUGCGGGUCUUGCUCAUCAUCCCCCAUCCCCCCGCCCCUGCAGGAGCCUCCUGAUGACCUCUGACCCCGUUGCUGCUCAGCCACACACAGAGAGAUAGAGACAGACAAGGGAUCUUCCACCUCUGGUUCACUCCCUAAAGGCCCACAACAGCUGGGGCUGGGCCAGGCCAAUGCCAGGACUGGAAACUCAUCCCUGGCCUCCCACGUGGGUGGGCAGGGACCUGAUGUCACCUGCUGCCUCCCAGGAGGCACCAGCAGGAAGCUGGAGCUGGAAGCGGAACUGGGACUCAAACUCUGAUACCGGAGGUCCCGGGGACAACAUGGUGACGGCCCCCAGCGUCCUCGUCCUCGCUCUGCUGCUGCUCCUGACGUCCGUGCCUGCGGGCGCCCACUCCGUGUUCCUGGAGGACGUGGUGGGCAGUGGGGAGGCCGAGGGCUCAUCGGCCUCUUCCCCGAGCCUGCCGCCGCCCCGGACCCCGGCCCUCAGCCCCACGUCGCUGGGGCCCCAGCCCACGCCCCUGGCCGGCCCCUCCGCCCCCACCAGCCUCCUGGACGGCAUUGUGGACUUCUUCCGCCAGUACGUGCUGCUCAUCGCCGUGGUGGGCUCCCUGGCCUUCCUGCUGCUCUUCGUCGUGUGCGCCGCCCUCAUCACGCGCCAGCAGCACAAGGCCUCGGCCUACUACCCGUCCUCCUUCCCCAAGAAGAAGUACGUGGACCAGAGUGACCGUGCGGGGGGCCCGCGCGCCUUCAGCGAGGUCCCCGACAGGGCUCCGGACAGCCGGCCCGAGGAGGCCUUGGACUCCUCCCAGCAGCUCCAGGCUGACAUCCUGGCCGCCACCCAGAACCUCAAGUCUCCGGCCAGGGUGGCCCCGGGCAGCAGGGAGGGAGCCAGGCUGGUGGAAGGCAGAGCAAAGGAGGAGGAGAAGGAGGAGGUGAAAGAGGAGGUGGAACAAGGAACCCAGCAGGUGCACCCAGAAACCCAGGGACGCGGGGUCCCAGCCGAGAAACCAGAGGUGGAGGAGGAGCUGUGCACGGGGGUAGCCGGGAGCGCCGUGGCAGCCGGCGAGGGCCAAGGGGAGCCAGAAGAGUCGCUCUCGCUAGCGCAGGAGGCACCCAUGGGUCCCCCCGGAAGCCCCUGUGCUUGCAGCGCUGUCUCCCCCAGUGUCUAACAGCCCCCAGGGCUGCUGGCCCGGCUGGCAGAGCCCUGGGGCAUGCAAAGGCCUUCAGUCCCGCCUGCUGCUCCCUGUCCCUUCCUGUCCCGUCCUGCAGCAGGUGGAAUGCUGGUCUCUGGGCUACCCUGGGAGUCUCACCGAGGUCCUGCAGCCCCGGGGGGCACGGCUCCUCCCAGGAGGUAGAGGAGGGGCUGUGGCCUUGUUAGAGUGAGGAUCGGCCAUGCCCGCCGGUCCUCCAGAGGGCGUGGUCGUCGCUGCUUUCCAUCCAGCUGGCAAAGAAAAUCAGCGUCACCGGGAGUUUGGGAGAAGGUCCAGUGAACGCAGUCCGGCCCCAAAUUCAAAUGGUGCCAUCCUUGGCCCUGACAUGCCCGUGUCCCUCUGCCUCUGCUUCCGCCGGAAGUGGACCUGGCUGGCCAGUUAGGGAGAUCCUGGGAGGAGCCCCUCAGGCCCUCGGCGAGCAUAUCCAGACUGGGCUCCCCAAGAUGCCCCGUGGAAGCAAGAUCAAGGUCAAGGCGUCUCAGGAACAGUACCCCAGCCCCCCAGGGCUCUGCCACGUCCGCAGCGCAGGCUCUGGUUGACUCUGGUUUUGUUUAGUCUUUGCCAAACUUUUAAAAAUAGCUGCAGAGGGAAAUCUGGCCCUGCCCAUGCGGGAAAGCCCCGCUCUUAACCGUCCUGAAGGCACCCCCGGUUUCUCGUGGGUCCAGGGUUAGGGCGUGGGGGGCAGGGGCAGGGUCUCUCGAGGACAGGGCUGUGUUUGAGGGGCAUGCACCCUGGGGGAGGGUCUCUGACACCUGGCCUGGGGCAGGGGGCCUGGCUGCCCCCUGUGCUCACACACAUGGGCUGGCAGCCACCUUCAGUUGACAGGGAGUCUGGGCGCUGUCCUCACUGGGGGAGGUUCUGGGGGGGUCUUCUCCCUCAGCCCUCUGUCUGGGGUCCCCCAGUCUCUGCAUAGCCCUCUGGGCACCGAGAUAUAACCCACUGGCACAAUAAACCCUGAUUCUGGCCCCAG